AUUUUAAUGAAAAAAAAAAAACAGAAGUUCAAUCCCAAAAAAGGGUCUAAGGGAGUUUUGGGUCUCAAGCAAACCCAGUGUUUUCUUCUUUUCCUUUGCCAACUACUAUUCUUUGUUCUUUUUUCCUUGUGUUUUCUUGCCCAUGACGGGAGCAUAUAACAGUCCAUUUCUACAACUCAGUCUAAUACUCGUGUGCUUGUUGAAUAAGAUCUGCUAUGAAGGUCUGGAACCUAAAUGUGGGUUUAAAUGAAAGCAAAGAAAUAUUUCACAGUAAAUCCUCAUAAUUAGUCGCCUACUUACUCAUCCAUAGUACAUUAAAUCAUUAUUGGUACAAGAUGGUUCCAAAACUCAAUGUAGUCCAAUGCCAAAAUCAAAUCCGA